rnacentral:rRNA from 1 species
GACGUAGGGCGCGAGCGUUGUCCGGAUUUAUUGGGCGUAAAGAGCUCGUAGGCGGUUUGGAUAGUCGGGUGUGAAAACUCCGAGCUUAACUCGGAGACGCCACCCGAUACUGCCAUGACUAGAGUCCGGAAGAGGCAAGUGGAAUUCCCGGUGUAGCGGUGAAAUGCGCAGAUAUCGGGAGGAACACCGGUGGCGAAGGCGGUUCUCUGGGCAUUACCUGACGCUGAGGAGCGAAAGUGUGGGGAGCGAACAGG